GACGAACGCUGGCGGCGUGCCUAAUACAUGCAAGUCGAACGCACUCUCGUUUAGAUUGAAGGAGCUUGCUCCUGAUUGAUAAACAUUUGAGUGAGUGGCGGACGGGUGAGUAACACGUGGGUAACCUGCCCUAAAGUGGGGGAUAACAUUUGGAAACAGAUGCUAAUACCGCAUAAAACCUAACACCGCAUGGUGUAGGGUUGAAAGAUGGUUUCGGCUAUCACUUUAGGAUGGACCCGCGGUGCAUUAGUUAGUUGGUGAGGUAAAGGCUCACCAAGACCGUGAUGCAUAGCCGACCUGAGAGGGUAAUCGGCCACACUGGGACUGAGACACGGCCCAGACUCCUACGGGAGGCAGCAGUAGGGAAUCUUCCACAAUGGACGAAAGUACUGAUGGAGCAACGCCGCGUGAGUGAAGUAAGGUUUCGUAGUACGUAAAACUCUGUUGUUGGAGAAGAAUGUAUCUGAUAGUAACUAGUAUCAGGUAGUGACGGUA
rnacentral:rRNA from 1 species